CGUCGUGACGUAAGCGGAACUCGAACUUAGAAACCGUUCGACGGAGUUGUGAUUGGAAGAGCUUAUGGUUUAUUUAUAGAGUGUUUAGAUUGUUGAUGUUAUAAGAAAGAGUCGAUGAUGAAAGCUGUUAUUUUAGCUGCAGGGACGAGGCUGUAGAGGGACAUUGAGAAGGACCAGACUGGACACUUUCAGCAUUUACAGGGUGUUGCUAAACCGCUGCUUCCGGUCGGAGUAUGCGCCCUAAUCUCCCAUUGGCUGAGAGCUCUCACUCUGUCUGCUUGUGUGGAUCAAGUGUUUGUGGUGAUACAUCCUUAGGUUCUUCUUAAAGAGAUGUCUGGAAUCCACGGUACUCUUCGUUCACAACGAUGAUGCGUCCCAAAAAGCUUGAUGUCCCCUCACCGGAGGUCAUAGAGGUCUCCAUCUCCACAUCCUCACCAAGCAAAGAACAAGAUCGGUUAUUAUAAUGAUUAGUACUUAUUUCGAGUUUUAAGACCUUAGCUUGUGGCUUUCCUUUAACAGCACUGCACAUUUAGGAGCUAGCGAAGUGGGUGCAGAGAUAAUAAUUUCUACAGUGUACUGUGGAUGUUCUGCUGAUCAUACCUUCUUUGCUACAUAUCUGUUGUUACCACUGUACUGUCACUUUUACAUUUACUCACUUACACUUAAUUGUGUAUAUAUGUUAAUAUUUCAUUUAUAUUUACAGUUCUGUAUUUGAUAUGUUUUAUUUAAUAUGCUUAUUUUUAUACUAGAACAUGUCUUACUUGCAUACUCUACAUUUUGCUCCUGCUGUAAUGUUUGAAUUUCCCUCUGGGAUUAAUAAAGUGAUCUAUCUGUCUGCUAUAGACAGUACCAGACACGCCCAUGACACUUUCGUGGCCAAGCGAUUGUCCCUCUCUCUCUUUUUGUGUGUGUGUGGGUGUUUCUAUUUUGGACUGACUGAACAGCAACCCAACCAAUCCCAAUGACGCUGUGUGGGAGCCAAUCAGAACGAAUUCACCUAAUAAAAGGAUAAAGGCUUUCAUGUGAAGUUUUGAGGGAGUGGAUUGGCUAAAUUAGAAAGCGGACUAGACUUGACAAAAAGUUUCCUGCUCUGAUGAUCCUGUGGUCGUCUGGUGUAGGAGAGGAGAGCAGUGCAGCACCUGUGGGGAAAAAUAAAUAAUGGGCACUUCAGGAUAUACACAUGUGAGAACUCAAGUAGGAUUUAGGAGUUGUAUAGAGCUAUGGAUGCUAUGAUGUCGGGGUGUGAAUGUCGGGGAGACUCACAGCCGUGUCCAUCAUAAGAUUUAUGAAAUCCUAACAUUGUUCGAUAUGAAGGGACUUCAAUCUAAAUCAUCACUCUGUAAUUGUAGAAGUGUUCAAACUGUGUGUGGAUUUAAACAUUUGUAAAUGACAUUAUCUUUUGGGAUAUGUAUAAACACAAAGUAAAAACACUUGAGAAAUGCUUUCAGACCUGGUUUAUCAUUAAUUACAAGCCCAACACGCAUGUUUUUAUUUUUGACCCGUCAUUCUUGUCACCGGCACUUUUCAAAACCAAGUCACGCUUAUUGCGUAAGACAGAUCGAAAUUUGACCUCAUGUUAAACAAUUCUCCAUUUAUUGUCCUGUAUAUUUAUAUAGUCCUGCACUCGUCUCAUACUGUUGUGUAUUUGCACUUGAUGUAGUCUUGUGUACCGUUCUGUUCUGUGUUGAACCCUGGGCGUGGAGAAACCACACGUCCUUCCAGUGUAUAAAAGCUGUAUAGAGCAAUGACGAUAAAAACCCACUUGACUUGAUAAUCAUAAGAUAAUGUACACAUUUAUAGUCAAAACUCACAUUCAGCAUUAAUGUACUGUAUUUAUAUUGUGUAUAAUGUGUGUAUGUAUGUACACCCUGCAUUAAAUAAUAAGUAAAGAUCCAUUUCUGAUUUGGCUAUGAAAUAUUAGCAGCUCAGCUAACACUUUCGAGCAGACCAGAGUUAAAGCUCCUCAAACACACA